GAUGAACGCUGGCGGCGUGCCUAAUACAUGCAAGUCGAGCGAACAGACGAGGAGCUUGCUCCUCUGACGUUAGCGGCGGACGGGUGAGUAACACGUGGAUAACCUACCUAUAAGACUGGGAUAACUUCGGGAAACCGGCGCUAAUACCGGAUAAUAUAUUGAACCGCAUGGUUCAAUAGUGAAAGACGGUUUUGCUGUCACUUAUAGAUGGAUCCGCGCCGCAUUAGCUAGUUGGUAAGGUAACGGCUUACCAAGGCAACGAUGCGUAGCCGACCUGAGAGGGUGAUAGGCCACACUGGAACUGAGACACGGUCCAGACUCCUACGGGAGGCAGCAGUAGGGAAUCUUCCGCAAUGGGCGAAAGCCUGACGGAGCAACGCCGCGUGAGUGAUGAAGGUCUUCGGAUCGUAAAACUCUGUUAUUAGGGAAGAACAAAUGUGUAAGUAACUAUGCACGUCUUGACGGUACCUAAUCAGAAAGCCACGGCUAACUACGUG
rnacentral:rRNA from 1 species